UCGAACGGUGGAAGCCAAGCUUGCUUGNUGGAUCAGUGGCGAACGGGUGAGUAACACGAUGAGCAACCUGCCCUGGACUCUGGGAUAAGCGCUGGAAACGGCGUCUAAUACUGGAUAUGAGCNNNNAUCGCAUGGUGGGGGUUGGAAAGAUUUUUUGGUCUGGGAUGGGCUCGCGGCCUAUCAGCUUGUUGGUGAGGUAAUGGCUCACCAAGGCGUCGACGGGUAGCCGGCCUGAGAGGGUGACCGGCCACACUGGGACUGAGACACGGCCCAGACUCCUAC
rnacentral:rRNA from 1 species